AAUCCUGGCUCAGGACGAACGCUGGCGGCGUGCUUAACACAUGCAAGUCGAACGAGAAUCUGCUGAAGGAGGAUUCGUCCAACGGAAGCAGAGGAAAGUGGCGGACGGGUGAGUAACGCGUGAGGAACCUGCCUUGAAGAGGGGGACAACAGUUGGAAACGACUGCUAAUACCGCAUGACGCAUAGAGGUCGCAUGAUCUUUAUGCCAAAGAUUUAUCGCUUCAAGAUGGCCUCGCG
rnacentral:rRNA from 1 species